AUUGAACGCUGGCGGAAUGCUUUACACAUGCAAGUCGAACGGCAGCACGGACUUCGGUCUGGUGGCGAGUGGCGAACGGGUGAGUAAUGUAUCGGAACGUGCCCAGUCGAGGGGGAUAACGUAGUGAAAAUUACGCUAAUACCGCAUACGACUUAUGGAUGAAAGCGGGGGAUGGCAAGACCUCGCGCGAUUGGAGCGGCCGAUAUCAGAUUAGGUAGUUGGUGGGGUAAAGGCCCACCAAGCCAACGAUCUGUAGCUGGUCUGAGAGGACGACCAGCCACACUGGAACUGAGACACGGUCCAGACUCCUACGGGAGGCAGCAGUGGGGAAUUUUGGACAAUGGGCGAAAGCCUGAUCCAGCCAUUCCGCGUGCAGGAUGAAGGCCCUCGGGUUGUAAACUGCUUUUGUACAGAACGAAAAGGUUUCUACUAAUACUAGGAGCUCAUGACGGUACUGUAAGAAUAAGCACCGGCUAACUACGUGCCAGCCGCCGCCGUAA
rnacentral:rRNA from 1 species